rnacentral:misc_RNA from 1 species
AACUUUUAACAAUGGAUCACUUGGCUCUCGCAUCGAUGAAGAACGCAGCGAAAUGCGAUAAGUAAUGUGAAUUGCAGAAUUCAGUGAAUCGUCGAAUCUUUGAACGCACCUUGCGCCCCUUGGCUAUUCCGAGGGGCAUGCCUGUAUGAGGAUCAAGAACACCUCUACUCUCAUGGUUGGGUGUGAUGAGCUUGGUCUCUGGGGGUUUUGCUGGCCUGUGGUCAGCUCCCCUCAAAUGAAUCAGCCUCCCAGUGUUUGGUGGCAUCACGGGUGUGAUAAAUAUCUAUGCUCGCGGUUGUCUGCCAGGUAACCUUUGGUGACAAAGGUUUGCUGGAGCUCACAGAUGUCUCUCCUCAGCGAGGACAGCUUUUUGAACGUUCGAUCUCAAAUCAGGUAGGACUACCCGCUGAACUUAAGCAUAUCAAUAAGCGGAGGCU